UUAAAUGUAAUGCAGUGGUAGAAUACUUGUCUGACAUGUAUGAGACUCUGGGUUCAACCCUCAGCAUUUGGU
rfam:Fukomys damarensis contig87423, whole genome shotgun sequence.